GGUAACCAGGUGCCAGGAUGCGCGGGAAAACGUCGGUGGGUAGCGUGAGACGGAUUUACUGGGCGUAAAGCGCGCGGAGGUGGUUGAGUAAGUUGGGUGUGAAAUCACUUGGCUUAACUGGGAGGGGACGCUCAAGACUGCUCGGCUUGAGGUCGAGAGAGGGGUGCAGAAUUCCCGGUGUAGUGGUGGAAUGCGUAGAUAUCGGGAGGAAUACCAGUGGCGAAAGCGGCGCCCUGGCUCGCACCUGACACUGAGGCGCGAAAGCGUGGGGAGCGAACGGGAUUAGAUACCCCAGUAGUC
rnacentral:rRNA from 1 species